UACGGAGGGUGCGAGCGUUGUCCGGAAUCAUUGGGCGUAAAGGGCGCGUAGGUGGCUUGCCAAGCGUGUGGUGAAAGCCCGGAGCUCAACUCCGGGUCUGCCAUGCGAACUGGCAGGCUUGAGCACGGUAGAGGCCAAUGGAAUUCCGGGUGUAGCGGUGGAAUGCGUAGAGAUCCGGAAGAACACCGGUGGCGAAGGCGGUUGGCUGGGCCGUAGCUGGCACUGAGGCGCGACAGCGUGGGGAGCAAACAGG
rnacentral:rRNA from 1 species